rnacentral:rRNA from 1 species
GGGGGAAAGAUUUAUCGGGAAGGGAUCGGCCCGCGUUGGAUUAGGUAGUUGGUGGGGUAAUGGCCUACCAAGCCGACGAUCCAUAGCUGGUUUGAGAGGAUGAUCAGCCACACUGGGACUGAGACACGGCCCAGACUCCUACGGGAGGCAGCAGUGGGGAAUCUUAGACAAUGGGGGAAACCCUGAUCUAGCCAUGCCGCGUGAUCGAUGAAGGCCUUAGGGUUGUAAAGAUCUUUCAGAUGGGAAGAUAAUGACGGUACCAUCAGAAGAAGCCCCGGCUAACUCCGUGCCAGCAGCCGCGGUAAUACGGAGGGGGCUAGCGUUAUUCGGAAUUACUGGGCGUAAAGCGCACGUAGGCGGAUCAGAAAGUCAGAGGUGAAAUCCCGGGGCUCAACCCCGGAACGGCCUUUGAAACUCCUGGUCUUGAG